ACCUGGCUGGCUCAGUCGGUGGGGCAUAGGACUCUUGAUCUUGGGGUUUUGAGUUCAAGCCCCAUGCUGGGUG
rnacentral:tRNA from 1 species